rnacentral:rRNA from 1 species
AUUGAACGCUGGCGGCAGGCCUAACACAUGCAAGUCGAGCGGUAGAGAGAAGCUUGCUUCUCUUGAGAGCGGCGGACGGGUGAGUAAUGCCUAGGAAUCUGCCUGGUAGUGGGGGAUAACGUUCGGAAACGGACGCUAAUACCGCAUACGUCCUACGGGAGAAAGCAGGGGACCUUCGGGCCUUGCGCUAUCAGAUGAGCCUAGGUCGGAUUAGCUAGUUGGUGGGGUAAUGGCUCACCAAGGCGACGAUCCGUAACUGGUCUGAGAGGAUGAUCAGUCACACUGGAACUGAGACACGGUCCAGACUCCUACGGGAGGCAGCAGCGGGGAAUAUUGGACAAUGGGCGAAAGCCUGAUCCAGCCAUGCCGCGUGUGUGAAGAAGGUCUUCGGAUUGUAAAGCACUUUAAGUUGGGAGGAAGGGCAGUAAAUUAAUACUUUGCUGUUUUGACGUUACCGACAGAAUAAGCACCGGCUAACUCUGUG